AGUGAACGCUGGCGGUAGGCCUAACACAUGCAAGUCGAACGGCAGCACAGGAGAGCUUGCUCUCUGGGUGGCGAGUGGCGGACGGGUGAGGAAUACAUCGGAAUCUACUUUUUCGUGGGGGAUAACGUAGGGAAACUUACGCUAAUACCGCAUACGACCUACGGGUGAAAGCAGGGGAUCUUCGGACCUUGCGCGAUUGAAUGAGCCGAUGUCGGAUUAGCUAGUUGGCGGGGUAAAGGCCCACCAAGGCGACGAUCCGUAGCUGGUCUGAGGGGAUGAUCAGCCACACUGGAACUGAGACACGGUCCAGACUCCUACGGGAGGCGGCAGUGGGGAAUAUUGGACAAUGGGCGCAAGCCUGAUCCAGCCAUACCGCGUGGGUGAAGAAGGCCUUCGGGUUGUAAAGCCCUUUUGUUGGGAAAGAAAUCCAGCUGGCUAAUACCCGGUUGGGAUGACGGUACCCAAAGAAUAAGCACCGGCUAACUUCGUGCCAGCAGCCGCGGUAACAC
rnacentral:rRNA from 1 species